rnacentral:rRNA from 1 species
ACUCAAAGGAAUAGACGGGGACCCGCACAAGCGGUGGAGCAUGUGGUUUAAUUCGACAAUAAGCGUGGAACCUUACCAAGGCUUGACAUGAUACUGCAAAUCUCCGGAAACGGAGACUCCUUCGAGGGUGUAUCACAGGUGCUGCAUGGUUGUCGUCAGCUCGUGUCGUGAGAUGUACCGUUAAGUCGGGUAACGAGCGCAACCCCUAUGCUGUGUUAAAUGUUCACAGCAAACUGCCUGUUUAUCACAGGAGGAAGGCGGGGAUGACGUCAAAUCAGCAUGGCUCUUACGCCUUGGGCUACACACGUGCUACAAUGGCUAGAACAAUGGGACGCCAAGUCGAAAGACGGAGCUAAUCCUCUAAAUUUAGCCUCAGUUCGGAUUGAGGUCUGCAACCCGACCUCAUGAAGUCGGAAUCGCUAGUAAACGCUUAUCAGCCAUGGAGCGUUGAAUACGUUCUCGGGUCUUGUACACACCGCCCGU